AGGGCAAAUCAGCUUAUCGCUUUAUAUGAAAAUUGUAAAGAGGAAAGUCUGGGCAGCAAAGAGCACCAUACUUCUUAACGGGAAGGGUUCACAUUAAUUAUUUUUUUGUGAACACAGAAAGUGCCACAGAAAGUUAAACUACCUAUAUUUUUAAAUAUGGGAAAAGGUGAAAAGGUGAGGUAAGAGCUCACCAGAUGUAUGGUGACAUACAUUGCUUGGUAAACCUUAUGGGCUGAAAAACCAUGUAAACCUAGUAUUGAGGGCUGCUCGUCCAAUCUAGGAGGGUAGGUUGUUUGACGUUAAUGGAGACAUUAACGCUAGAGAAAUGAUAAGCGCUAUAGUCAUAAGAUUUUAGUUACAGAACCCGGCUUACGAUUUGUCUUUUUU
rnacentral:RNase_P_RNA from 1 species